rnacentral:rRNA from 1 species
UACGUAGGGGGCUAGCGUUGUCCGGAAUCAUUGGGCGUAAAGAGCGUGUAGGCGGCUCGGUAAGUCCGCUGUAAAAGUCAAAGGCUCAACCUUUGAAUGUCAGUGGAUACUGCCGGGCUAGAGUCCGGAAGAGGCGAGUGGAAUUCCUGGUGUAGCGGUGGAAUGCGCAGAUAUCAGGAGGAACACCAACGGCGAAGGCAGCUCGCUGGGACGGUACUGACGCUGAGGCGCGAAAGCGUGGGGAGCGAACAGG